ACGAACGCUGGCGGCUGCUUAACACAUGCAAGUCGAACGGAGUGGCGAACGGGUGAGUAACGCGUGAGCAACCUGCCUAUGACAGUGGGAUAGCCUCGGGAAACCGGGAUUCAUACCGCAUAGUCAUAGAUGGGCUCGCGUCUGAUUAGCUAGUUGGUGGGAUAACAGCCCACCAAGGCGACGACAGGUAGCCGGUCUGGGAGGAGGAGCGGCCACUUUGGAACGGAGAAACGGUCCAAAAUCCUACGGGAUGCAGCAGUGGGGAAUAUUGCACAAUGGGGGAAAACCUGAUGCAGCGACGCCGCGUGAACGAAGAAGGUACUCGUAUCGUAAAGUUCUGUCCUAUGGGAAGCAGUACCAUAGAAGAAAGCUCCGGCUAAAUACGUGCCAGCAGCCGCGGUAAUUC
rnacentral:rRNA from 1 species